GAUGAACGCUAGCGAUAGGCUUAACACAUGCAAGUCGAGGGGCAGCACAAGGUAGCUUGCUAUCUGGGUGGCGACCGGCGCACGGGUGCGUAACGCGUAUGCAACUUGCCCUAUACAGGAGGAUAACCCGUCGAAAGACGGACUAAUACUGCGUAUGCUCACAACUUGGCAUCAAGUGGUGAGGAAAGAAAUUCGGUAUAGGAUAGGCAUGCGUCCCAUUAGCUUGUUGGUGAGGUAACGGCUCACCAAGGCAACGAUGGGUAGGGGAACUGAGAGGUUUAUCCCCCACACUGGUACUGAGACACGGACCAGACUCCUACGGGAGGCAGCAGUGAGGAAUAGUGGGCAAGGGGCGCGAGCCUGAACCAGCCAAGUCGCGUGAAGGAUGACUGUCUUAUGGAUUGUAAACUUCUUUUAUACGGGAAUAACAAGAGUCACGGGUGACUCCCUGCAUGUACCGUAUGAAUAAGCAUCGGCUAACUCCGUG
rnacentral:rRNA from 1 species